rnacentral:rRNA from 1 species
UGGGUAACCCAUCCCGAUGACCGGGACAACCCGAGGAAACUCAGGCUAAUACCGGAUGUGGUCCCUCAUCACCAGAUGAGUGACUAAAGAUAGCUUCGGCCUUCGCAUCGGGACGGGCCCGCGGCCCAUUAGCUUGUUGGUGGGGUAACGGCCUACCAAGGCAACGAUGGGUAGCUGGUCUGAGAGGACGAUCAGCCACACUGGGACUGAGACACGGCCCAGACCUCCGUACGGGAGG